rnacentral:rRNA from 1 species
AACGUGAAGAACCUUACCAAAUCUUGACAUACCACUGAUCUACACUGUAAAGGUGUACUCUGCUUCGGCAGCAGUGGAUACAGGUGGUGCAUGGUUGUCGUCAGCUCGUGUCGUGAGAUGUUGGGUUAAGUCCCGUAACGAGCGCAACCCCUAUUUUUAGUUGCCAUCAGGUAAUGCUGGGCACUCUAAAGAGACUGCCAGAGAUAAUCUGGAGGAAGGUGGGGAUGAUGUCAAAUCAUCAUGCCCUUUAUGAUUUGGGCUACAAACGUGCUACAAUGGUCGGUACAACAGGUUGCCAAGCCGCAAGGUGGAGCUAAUCCCAAAAACCGAUCUCAGUUCGGAUUGGGGGCUGCAACUCGCCCCCAUGAAGUUGGAGUUGCUAGUAAUCGCGAAUCAGCAUGUCGCGGUGAAUGCGUUCCCGGGCCUUGUACACACCG